rnacentral:rRNA from 1 species
AUUGAACGCUGGCGGCAUGCCUUACACAUGCAAGUCGAACGGUAACAGGUCUUCGGAUGCUGACGAGUGGCGAACGGGUGAGUAAUACAUCGGAACGUGCCUAGUAGUGGGGGAUAACUACUCGAAAGAGUGGCUAAUACCGCAUGAGAUCUACGGAUGAAAGCAGGGGAUCGCAAGACCUUGUGCUACUAGAGCGGCCGAUGGCAGAUUAGGUAGUUGGUGGGAUAAAAGCUUACCAAGCCGACGAUCUGUAGCUGGUCUGAGAGGACGAUCAGACACACUGGGAAUGAGACACGGCCCAGACUCCGACGGGAGGCAGCAGUGGGGAAUUUUGGACAAUGGGCGAAAGCCUGAUCCAGCAAUGCCGCGUGCAGGAUGAAGGCCUUCGGGUUGUAAACUGCUUUUGUACGGAACGAAAAGCCCCGGGUUAAUACCCUGGGGUCAUGACGGUACCGUAAGAAUAAGCACCGGCUAACUACGUGCCAGCCGCCGCCGUAA